GACCGCGUAGCUCAGUUGAAUGAGCAUUGGGCUAGUAUUCCAAAGGUCGUAGGUUCGAUUCCUACCGUUGCCC
rnacentral:tRNA from 1 species